GAGGCAGAUGCUUGGAAUUUAGAGUGGUAGAAAGUGGCUUUAGCAGCAGAGACAGAGGAGGAAAAUGUAGAGAGGAGGGAGUGAAAGGAUGCCAGGUCCGCAGGGAGGCGAGUUUUCCUCCAUUUCCGCUCGGCUGCCCGGAGCCCUGUUUAAACAACAGUGAAAUAAAAACAAAAUUGAACAUUACACUCACAAAAGUUAAAAAAUAUUAAAUAUAUUUCAAAUGUCCUAUUAUGUCUAUAUACAGUGUCUAUCUCCAUGGCCUGCUGUUCACACGCGUAUCUGUUCUCUCAUUGGCUAGAAUAGUCCCACAUGAUCUCGCCUUCUCCUGCCUGUCUUCCAUCUGAGGACAUGUAUUUCCAUAAUUAGAGCGGUUACUUGACUCUCUUGUCAAUUUAAUAGACAAUCUUUGCUUAAACUGGUUUCCUAGAAGUCUGGUUUCCUGUUAAACAACAGCAAAAAACAGGAAGUGGUCAAAUGCGGUAAGGUGCGGGUUGGUUUUAGGUCAGGCGCUGGCACAGUUAGUUGCAUGCUGCAUGCCUCACUUCUGACAACUUUAGAGAUUCCGGUUUGUUAACAGUCAAAAGACUACAAUAGCCAAAAAGGCUGUUGACAACCAAUUGGCAACCAUGGCUGCAAUUGUUUAACGCUAGAACAGCUGCCGAUGUCUUUGGAACAUAUUUAAAAUGUUAAUGUCAUUACAAUUUUAAAGUCAUGUCCACCUCCGUCCUUGACAUUUUUCUAAAUAAGUCUAUCAGUGGCAUCCACAGUUUCACAGUCCCCCCAGAAGGUCUGAGCGACCACUGGCCCAUCAUAAUUAUAGAUGUAGGCUAAAUUGACAAUCGUCUGAUGGGUGACAAUAUUGUAAAUUGUCUCGUGAUAGGAAGAGACUGAUGAACAGCACAGCGUGUGUAAUUGACAAAGAAGGGAACGGAGUUUACCAUAAAGCUACUCUUUAAAAUCAUCCUACAGAUGUUCACGCAGACGUGACCGAACACCCCCCUCUUAGGGCACCACCCGGUCUCCCUUCCUGGGCGAACCAGCCGAGACAUGGGCGCUGGGCCAGCCGGUUGGGGCGUGGAAGCCCGACGAACCGGCAGGAGCGUAAGAGCCUGGCGAGUUGGCUGAGGCAUGGGAGCCUGACGAUCCCGCUGCAGAGAGGAUGCCGCGGAGCCGACCGAGGAAAGUAAACCUCUCGGGCCAGCCAGGGCGUGGAUGCCCGACGGGCAGGCUUAGGUACCCCCGGUUCCAUCCGUGGCGGAAUCCACCCCGACGUCACCAACAAAACAAAACAAAAAAACUCCUGGACCGGCUGGGCGAACAAAAACUGACGAUCUGGCUGAGACGAAGCAGGUACGUGGAGUCAAACAUUUAAUAAAUAACGGACACGACACGAGACAGGAACAGAGACAAAAGACAAUCAAUACAGAGCUGGGGAACGAACAAAUAUAGGGAAGGAAAUAAACAGAUCAUGGCUGAGUCCAACAACAUUGAUGUGCGUGACAAGGGAAGGCAGGUGUGCGUGAUGCAGGGCAGCCUGGGGGUGGAUACGUGACAAACAGGGGUCGGUUUUCAUUUGAAUGAUAGCUUAAAAACCUAUGCCAGAGACAUUCAUACGAGGAGCCCUAAAAUAAAAAUGAUUGCCUCCAUGGUCUGAAAAUCACAGCGGAGGUCAAAGAUCAUCUACAGACAGGUGCACAUGAGAAAAACACUGGAGCUAAACCAAAGAUAUUGAUCUGUUUUAAGCAAUCGAUUUUGUGAGAUUGUGACGACUGUAAACUUUUUUACAAACAUCACUAAUAUGAAGUAAAAAGGGAUGUGUAUUUCCUGUAAUUAUUGUGGUGAAAACAUUAGUCAGUGUAAUGUAGCAACACGUUCUGUCCGCCAUAGGGAAAUUAGCUUAAAAUAAACCAUGUUAAAAUAGUUCAGUAUUUCUAUUUAAGAUUACAGUAAAUUAAACACAAUCCCCAUAAAUCCAACAAUGAUAUCUAUUUCUUACUAUUUUUACCAUGGAAAAGCACUCCUACACACUAUUUAACCGGGUGCUCUGAAGAGCUGUUAUGGUGGAAUGUCGUGUAAGAAUGACAACUACUCCUGUCUCUUGAGUUACUGCAAAUCUCCCUUAGCAUAACCAUCUCCAACCAUGCCAGACAAGGAUUGGUCACAGACAAACCAGCUGUCACUACUCAGAUGGCCUGUGGUAGCUGUGCUACUGUCUCUCCUCUCUCUUUGUUUUCCGGGCAAGUGUUUCCAGCCAUUGGUUCGAGUGAGAAUGCCAGCAGCUCCAACAGACACAGACACAAGAUAGCCGAGUCACACAUUAUUUACACCAUUGUACCCCAAAACUCUGUAUUAAAACAUUUACUUCUACCCGGAUCCUGCAAGUCAAGUCCCUCUUUAACCUUUUCAAAAGUCAUCUUGCUACAGUACUAAAAAAUAACACACUGACAAACUCAACUGGCAUUUGAAGGGAUACUGGUGUCAGAUUCCAAACCGACUGCCGCUGUGCCCUUGAACAAGGCAAUUAUCCUGUUGGAUUGUGUAUAGAAAGCCCCCUCAAAAAACUGAAUACGAGUGCUUAGAAAAUGACAAUGGUUGUAAACAAACCACAAACCAGAAGUUUCAUAUUGAGAACCUAAAGAAUACAUCAUUAAUACUAUUAUAAAUUGCUGGGUUUUAUUCUACAACUGUUUGGUUUCCUUUCAUCUUCAUAGAUAAGAACUACACAUUCAUGUAAUUGCCUUAUUUAGAAAACAAACAGACAAUGCUGUUACUCUGAAUUCUGUUUGUAGUCUGUAUGCAAAUAUUCAAACUUCCUCUGUCAUAUACAGGUCUUCAAUAGACAGGGAGUGACACAUAGUUAUUACACAGACAGGACCUCAGCACCAGUCUACAGUAAAUACACAAUGUGGGUCUUGUUGCUCUUAAUUAUGACUGUAACCUCAAUAGUCUCGGGACCUUCUUGUUCAGUAAACAACAAUCCUCGCCGUAUUUAUGUCCCUGGGGACAUUGUUGUGGGUGGACUUUUUCCUAUUUACCUGCAGGUGAAAACUAAUUGGUCCACGAUUCCUCCGCAAAAGACAUGCACUGAUUACGACGUGCAGAUGUUCCUCCGAUCGCAAGUGAUGAUUUAUGCCAUCCAAGAGAUAAACAGGUCUCAGAUGUUGCCCAAUGUGAGUGUCGGAUACGAAAUAUACGACACCUGUGGGGAUGUAACAAAUGCCAUCAGAGCAACACUGAGCAUGAUGGAGGACAUCCAGGGGAAGGGGGUGAAUCCUAAUGUAACCACACCACAUGUUAAAGUGGUAAUUGGGGAGAGGUAUUCUGAGAAGUCAAUAGCUGUUGCCCGUCUACUAGCUCUACCUUUAGUGGCUCAGAUCAGUUAUUCAUCAACAAGUGAGUUGCUCAGUAGGAAGUGCAAGUUCCCCUCGUUUCUGCGAACGGUCUCCAGUGAUGAGCAUCAGACCAUUGCGAUCGCUGAGUUGGUGAAGCAUCUCACCUGGGAGAGCGUGGGAGUGAUAGGCAGUGACGAUGAGUUCGGCAAGUAUGGCGCCGAGAGGCUGAUCGAUCACUUCAAUGACAGGAAACUGUGUGUGGACUUCAAGGAGAUCCUAUCAGCAAACUUUAUACUCAACGAGACCAGAACGCAAACAGAAUUGGCCAUGCUCAUGUCAAAGAUUCGCAAUUCGUCUGCCGAGGCCAUUGUCAUUUUCACAGCUGAAUUGAAUGUUAGGAUUAUCCUCAAAGAGGUCCUUAGAAUGGGGAUCAGCAGAAUUUGGAUUGCAUGUGACAAUUGGGCCACCAACAAGGAGCUUUCUGAAAUGCCCGAUAUUCAAAAGGUUGGGAGGGUAUUUGGAUUCAUUGCAAAGAGAAACAAAGUGCCGGGUUUUCAUGAGUACGUCCGUGACUCUAUGUUCCAAAGUAAAGCCCAGAACAGCUUUAUCCAUGAAUUUAUGUGUCAUUAUCCUCCAUGUCCCGAUUCCUUGGUAGAUGAAAGUGUGCUGAACUGUGCAUUACCCGACACCAAAUCCCAGUCAGAGAGUGGUGGAAGGACAUGCCUGGACAGAAGGUGCUUAUUGAAGUACAUUGACGAGGAUGAGUCUUAUUACAUCUAUCUAGCGGUCAAAGUCAUUGCUCAGGGCCUGAGAAGCCUGCUGAACUGCGACAAUGUAAGGUGUAAACGAAAUGGCAGUUUUGCUGUUUGGGAGCUUCUUGAGGAACUCAAGCGGGUUAACUUCAUAGUGGACAAUACCACACACAUAUCUUUCAAUCAAAAUGGUGACCCUACUACAGGAUAUGACAUCGUAGAGUGGAACAUGUCGGUUUCAGAAAAUCGGAUAAUAACCGUUGGAGAAUAUAGGCCUGAUGAACCCAUCCGCAUCAGAGAGCAUCUCAUCAGAGAGUUCGAAAAUGUUACAGUGACUUUUGCCAACUGCUGUAAGACAUGUAAUCCGGGAUAUCAGUUAAUUUCAAAGAUAAACUCAUGCUGCAAGGAGUGUUCUCUUUGCAGUCGUGGAUACAUUUCUACCGGAGGUGGUAAGAAGUGCGUGGCCUGUCAUCCACAAAGGGAGUACACAUCCUCAGACAUGGACAGAUGUUUGAUGAAAACCAUUGACUACCUGGGGUGGACUGACGCUUUCACCACUGUUCUGGUCUCAUUUGAUGUCUUGGGGAUUGUUGUCAGCCUUCUGGUGGCCAUUUUGUUUGCUGUGGAUCGAAGAACACCCAUAGUGAAAUCCACUGGAGGCUACCUCAGCUUCCUGGAGCUGCUGUCCCUGCUGGCCUGCUUCUGCUGUAUCAGUAUGUUCCUGGGGGAGCCAACAAAGACCACCUGCCUGGCGGGUCUCCCACUCUUUGGCAUGGCCUUCACUGUCUGCGUCUCCUGCAUCCUGGCCAACCUGCUCCAGAUCUUUGUCGGCUUCACUUUCAAUCUGAGGGUUACAGUCGGCGACACACUGAAGCGCCUCAACCGACCCAUCGCCGUGGUAACGUGCUGCUCGGCGGUCCAGGUGGCCGUGUGCGUGCUGUGGCUGACCUACGCCCCACCGUUCAUUGUCGAAAGCAGCAGGUUCGACGAGGCCACCAUCCUUCUGGAGUGCAACAAAGGUUCCAAGAUGCUCUUUGGCGCCAUGUUGACUUACAUUGCCCUGCUGGCAGUGGUCUGCUUCCUGUUUGCGUUCAAAGGGAAGCAGUUGCCAGAUUUGUAUAAGAACGCCAGUUUUGUCUCCAUCAGCAUGGUGAUUUUCCUGGUGGUUUGGAUGGUCUUCAUCCCUGUCUACAUCAACAUGUCGGGGAAGUACCAGCAGGCCAUCGAGGCGGCGGCCAUCUUGGUGUCCAAUUACAGCGUCCUCUGUUGUCACUUUGCUCCCAAGUGCUACAUCAUGCUCUUCAGGAAAGAGCUCAACAACGAGAAUGCCAUCACAAAUUACAUCCGGAAACACUAUGAAAAGAAGGGCAUGGCUGUUGUCAGCAAAUAGUUUGUUGAUAGUAGCGAUACGAGGUAUUUGAGGCAGAAAUGUACAUGAAGGUAGGGUAAAGUGACUAGGCAUCAGGAUAGAUAAUAAUGAGGUAUUUGAGGUAGAUACGUACAUGAAGGCAGGGUAAAGUGACUAGGCAUCAGGAAAGAUAAUAAUGAGGUAUUUGAGGUAGAUAUGUACAUGAAGGCAGGGUAAAGUGACGAAGCAUAAGGAUAGAUAAUAAUAAUAAGAGCCUCUACAGAUGGACAAUCUGAAUUUUUCAAAGUGUGACCCAUGAUAAGACUGUCAAGCACCAGUGAUACUUAUUGGAAGCAUGGAACUUGGCAUAAACCAUUGCAUUAUGGGAACAUGAACCCAAGCAUUAGAGGAAUCAUUUUUCUCCAGAAUACAGUACAUUAUGUCCCCCUAGCUAUACUAUACAGUAAUGCUAUACUGAUUAGUAGUUGUUUAUAAUUGAUUUAAAAUCAAAUCAAAGUUUAUUUGUCACGUGUGCCGAAUACAACAGGUGUAGUAGACCUUAUAGUGAAAUGCUUACUUACAGGCUCUAACGAAUAGCGCAAAAAAGGUAUUAGGUGAACAAUAGGUAAGUAAAGAAAUAAAAACAACAGUAAAAAGACAGUGAAAAACAGUACACCCACCUGUGGGGCGGCCCGUCAGGAAGUCCAGGAUACAGUUGCAGAGGGAGGUGUUUAGUCCCAUGUUUCUUAGCUUAGUGAUGAGCUUUGAGGGUACUAUGGUGUUGACCGCUGAGCUGUAGUCAAUGAAUACCAUUCUCACGUAAGUGUUCCUUUUGUCCAGGUGGGAAAGGACAGUGUGGAGUGCAAUAGAGAUUGCACCAUCUGUUGAUCUGUUUGUGCGAUAUGCAAAUUGUAGUGGGUCUAGGGGAUAAUGGCGUUGAUGUGAGUCAUUACCAGCCUUUCAAAGCACUUCAUGUCUACGGACGUGAGUGCUACGGGUCUGUAGUCAUUUAGGCAGGUUGUCUUUGUGUUCUUGAGCACAGGGACUAUGGUGGUCUGCUUGAAACAUGUUGGUAUUACAGACUCAAUCAGGGACAUGUUGAAAAUUGUCAGUGAAGACACCUGCCAGUUGGUCAGCACCUGCCAGAGCACACGGCCUGGUAAUCCGUCUGGCACCGCAGCCGUGUGUAUGUUGACCUGUUUAAAGGUCUUACUCACGUCGGCUACGGAGAGUGUGAUCACACAGUCGUCUGGAACAGCUGAUACUCUCUUGCAUGCCUCAGUGUUGCUUGCCUCGAAGCGAGCAUAGAAGUGAUUUAGCUCGUCUUGUAGGCUCGUGUCACUGGGCAGCUCGGGUGUCCUUCCCUUUGUAGUCUGUAAUAGUUUGCAAGCACUGCCACAUAAGACGAGCAUCGGAGCCGGUGUAGUAUGAUUCAAUCUUAGGCCUGUAUUGACGCUUUGCCUGUUUGAUGGUUCGUCGCAGGGCAUAUCAGGAUUUCUUGUAAGCUUCCGGGUCAGAGUCCCGCACCUUGACAGCGGCAGCUCUGCCCUUUACUUCAGUGCGGAUGUUGCCUGUAAUCCAUGGCUUCUGGUUGGGGUAUGUAAGUACAGUCCCUGUGGAGACAACGUCCUCGGUACAGUCACUGUGGGGACGACGUCCUCGGUACAGUCACUGUGGGGACGA